GUGGGCGUCUUCUAAUGGUUAGGAAAUCUCGUUGUGGUAGCAGUUUUCGACGCCCGUCAACCCCGUGAAAAUGUCGGUUCGAUUCCGGCCGCCCACA
rnacentral:tRNA from 1 species